GGGGAUAUGGCGGAAUGGUAGACGCAGCGGACUCAACCGUGAGGGUUCGAAUCCCUCUAUCCCCA
rnacentral:tRNA from 1 species